AGCUCCAGUGGUGUAUAUUAAAGUUGUUGCGGUUAAAAAGCUCGUAGUUGUAUGUUACUUGCCAUCGUCAAACCAUGGCUAAUGAUUUUCUCAUCAGAGAAAAAAUUGUAAUUUUGAAAAAAUUUGAAUGUUUAAAAAUAGCAGUUAUAUUUUAGCAUGAUAUUACUCAUAGGCAGUUGCUCGGUGUAGUGAAACAGGCGACUGCUUUAAAAUAGGAGUGAUAUAUGUUACUCGUACUCGGCGAUUAGAGGUGAAAUUCUAUGACUCGCCGACGACGCACCAAGGCGAAAGCUUGUAUCAGGAGCAUAUCCA
rnacentral:rRNA from 1 species